CCCCGAGGAAAAGAAAUCAACCGAGAUUCCCCCAGUAGCGGCGAGCGAACGGGGAGCAGCCCAGAGCCUGAAUCAGUAUGUGUGUUAGUGGAAGCGUCUGGAAAGGCGCGCGAUACAGGGUGACAGCCCCGUACACAAAAAUGCACAUAUUGUGAGCUCGAUGAGUAGGGCGGGACACGUGGUAUCCUGUCUGAAUAUGGGGGGACCAUCCUCCAAGGCUAAAUACU
rnacentral:rRNA from 1 species